rnacentral:piRNA from 1 species
UUCAAUAGAGGUGUGCCAAGCAAGGUCAGA